rnacentral:misc_RNA from 1 species
UCCGAUUUAACAUCGGCAGUCUCUCUAGAGUGCCCAACUUAAUGAUGGCAACUAAAGACGAGGGUUGCGCUCGUUGCCGGACUUAACCGAACAUCUCACGACACGAGCUGACGACAGCCAUGCAGCACUUGUGUCCUCCGUCCCCGAAGGGCCUCUCCGUGUUUCCACAGAGAUUCAGAGGCAUGUCAAGGCCAGGUAAGGUUUUGCGCGUUGCUUCGAAUUAAACCACAUAAUCCACCGCUUGUGCGGGUCCCCGUCAAUUCCUUUGAGUUUUAAUCUUGCGACCGUACUCCCCAGGCGGGAUACUUAACGCGUUAGCUAGACUACAGCCGGGGUCAAUACCGGCCACAGUGAGUAUCCAUCGUUUAGGGCGUGGACUAC